UGGGGAAUCUUCCGCAAUGGACGAAAGUCUGACGGAGCAACGCCGCGUGAGUGAAGAAGGUUUUCGGAUCGUAAAACUCUGUCUUUUGGGGCGAACGUGAGUAUGGUGAACAAUCAUAGUCAGUGACGGUACCAAAGGAGGAAGCCACGGCUAACUACGUGCCAGCAGCCGCGGUAAUACGUAGGUGGCAAGCGUUGUCCGGAAUUAUUGGGCGUAAAGAGCGCGUAGGCGGGAUAGUCAGUCUGUUGUAAAGUGCGGGGCUCAACCCCGUGAUGGCAAUGGAAACAGCUAUUCUUGAGUGCAGGAGAGGAAAGUGGAAUUCCCAGUGUAGCGGUGAAAUGCGUAGAUAUUGGGAGGAACACCAGUGGCGAAGGCGACUUUCUGGACUGUGUCUGACGCUGAGGCGCGAAAGCCAGGGGAGCGAACGGGAUUAGAUACCCCCGGUAGUCCUGGCCGUAAACGAUGGGUACUAGGUGUGGGAGGUAUCGACCCCUUUCCGUGCCGGAGUUAACGCAAUAAGUACCCCCGCCUGGGGAGUACGGUCGC
rnacentral:rRNA from 1 species